ACUCUCUUAAUCCAGAACCUUCUCAUUGACCUGCCUCACUUCUUUUCUUUGAAGAACAAACGUCUCUCUCUCUCUCUCUCUCUCUCGCUCGCUCCAUUGUUCUCUCUUGUCUCUUCCCCAGAACCCACUACCACAAAAUGGACUAUUACCAAAAGAACCCCAACAUUUCUUUCUCUUUCUCUUCAUCUUGGUCUUUCACAGUCGACAUCUCACCCCCUCUUCUCUUCAUCUCUUUUGUCUCUCUCCCGUGACAUCAAUUGACGAGAUCAAAGAUCACAAACCCCUCUUCACAUAUCACAAAGAAGAUGAAAACGAAGAUCAUAGAUCAGGAAGACAUUUCGCAGAUCGCAAAUCAAAGAGCCUUCUUCGUAGAUCGCAUAUCACAAACCCAAACUUUUAAUGCAUAUUGAAAUUCAGGAAACACAAAAAUGUACAAAGAUUUGAAACAGAAUUUUUGGUGGCUUGGUAUAAAGAAGUGUAUUGCUAAUUAUGUAGCCACGUGUUUGCACUACCAACAAGUGAAAGCUGAACAUCAACCACCGACUGGACUGCUUCAGCCACUUCCAAUACUAGAAUGGAAAUUGGAGCAUAUUACAAUGGACUUCAUUGUUGGACUGCCUUGCUUCUCUCAAGGUGAUCAAACACGGGAACAGGCCUAAGUUGCUAGCCUAGAGUUUUGUUUUGUCAAGCCAGCCACUGUACCUCCCGAGGAGGUUCCCAAGUGUUUCAAAUGCUCAAGUCUAGCGCACGUGAUGCACUGGAUCGGAGUUAGGAGUGUCGGGUUAGCUCUCGUUUUGUCAAGUCAACCGUUGUGCCUCACUGUAAGGUUCCAAGUCGUUUCAAGCUAGGGCUGGUUUGGGGUGUUUUAGAUUUCCCCUUUUGCCUCUGUUCUGUAAUAAAUGUUGAGACUUACACUGUACUGUUAUGUUAGGGAUUUGGUCCCUAACCUGAAUGUCUGUAUAUGAUGUAUGUAUAUACUGUUUUGGUUUGAAUGUGAAUAUGUUCAGGAAACUCUUAUUGCAUUCAAAAUGUCACAGCUCAUUGGACACCUUUUAUUUACUGUUUUGGCUUCCGCCAGCCCCUGUACUCUGUAUUACUGUCUUGACUGUUAAACAAGCUUUCGGUAAUCACGGAUUACUGGCCGGUUACGGUGCUAAAACCAUAGUGGCGGGUUUGGGUCGUGACAAUAUGUUUCAGAGGCCUUCGGUAAUCUUAGGAUUACUGACCGGUUACGAUCCUAAACUUAUAGGGGUGAGUUUAGGUCAUGACAGAGGGAAGGAAUGAAAGAAAGCAAUUAGUUUUGGGUGAGCUGGCAAAUUUGGCAGCUGCCAAAGCUUAUGACAAAUUUGGCACAAGAUUUGACAAAUGCCAAAUUUAACAGCCGCUAUAUUAUGCCAUUGAAGAACCCAUUUUGCCCUAAGCUGCCAUAUUUUGGCAAUAGCAGGUGUUUUAGCAAUCCGUUGGAAAUGCUCUAACUAAUUUGUUUUGCUCUGAUAUAGUCAACUCUUGAAAAAAUGAGAUUAACCUAGGAGAUAGAGAGAUCAAAUUUGUUGAGGAUUGGUUUGAAUAUAGAUUAU